CGCUGGCGGCGUGGAUUAGGCAUGCAAGUCGAACGNGAAAGUUCCCCUUCGGGGGAGCGAGUAGAGUGGCGAAAGGGUGAGUAAUGCUUGGAUGACCUGCCCUCGAGACGGGGACAACAGUUCGAAAGGACUGCUAAUACCCGAUAGUCCCGGUUUAGAUGCGUCUAGAUCGGUAAAUGGUGCUUCCGCUCGAGGAGGGGUUCAAGUCCUAUCAGCUUGUUGGUGAGGUAACGGCUCACCAAGGCGAUGACGGGUAGCCGGACUGAGAGGUUGGCCGGCCACAUGGGAACUGAGACACUGUCCUGACUCCUACGGGAGGCUGCAGUCGAGAAUCUUCUGCAAUGGGCGAAAGCCUGACAGAGCGACGCCGCGUGGAGGAUGAAGGCCCUCGGGUCGUAAACUCCUGUCACAUGUUAUGAAACGCACAGGUCUACCUGUGCGCUGACAAAAGCAUGAGAGGAAGUCACGGCUAACUUCGUG
rnacentral:rRNA from 1 species